UCGGCUUAGAGUUUGAUCAUGGCUCAGAUUGAACGCUGGCGGCAGGCCUAACACAUGCAAGUCGAGCGGUAGGGAAGCUUGCUUCUCACGAGCGGCGGACGGGUGAGUAAUGUAUGGGGAUCUGCCCGAUAGAGGGGGAUAACUACUGGAAACGGUAGCUAAUACCGCAUAAUCUCUCAGGAGCAAAGCAGUUCGUUGCGCUAUCGGAUGAACCCAUAUGGGAUUAGCUAGUUGGUGAGGUAAUGGCUCACCAAGGCGACGAUCCCUAGCUGGUCUGAGAGGAUGAUCAGCCACACUGGGACUGAGACACGGCCCAGACUCCUACGGGAGGCAGCAGUGGGGAAUAUUGCACAAUGGGCGCAAGCCUGAUGCAGCCAUGCCGCGUGUAUGAAGAAGGCCUUAGGGUUGUAAAGUACUUUCAGUUGGGAGGAAGGCGUUGAUUAAUAUCAACGAUUGACGUUACCAACAGAAGAAGCACCGGCUAACUCCGUGCCAGCAGCCGCGGUAAUACGGAGGUGCAAGCGUUAAUCGGAAUUACUGGGCGUAAAGCGCACGCAGGCGGUUGAUUAAGUUAGAUGUGAAAUCCCCGGGCUUAACCUGGGAUGCA
rnacentral:rRNA from 1 species